UUUUCUGUUUUCUGACUUGGAAGAGUCAACCUUCAGGUGAUAAAAUCAUGAUGUCACCAUCACAUCUCAAAACGAUGAAAUCGCACAGGGCUUUGUUGAUUUCUGUCAACUCCGACCACGACCAGUGUCGGUAUGUUUAGACGGUUCGGAUGCGCCUAAUAAACCAACCUAAUUUGCCUCGCGCGUUUAGUCAUCUCCUUCCUUCGUCUAUAACCUCACGCAGAGACAGAGUUCCCCCAAAACCCUAAACGCCCAAAGUAUUGAUCACAAAGCUACGGAGCUGAAAUUGCAAACGUUAUCCAUGGCUCGCUUCAAAAAUGUAAGCUUGAAAUUUUUAGGUUCUGUUUGGUUGUUGAGAAAACUGAAUCAAAG